rnacentral:ncRNA from 1 species
UCUUACGUAUUUGGUGAUAGUACAAAUAAAGGGUAUUCAAGGUGAUUAUUCAGUAAAAAUUUUUUUGUGCUCGGGUAAACGCUUAUUAAACUUAUGGUAAAGAUAAGAUAUCCCGCCAUUAGAAAUGAAAUCUGUGUCAAUUUAGGAAACUAAGAACCGUAGACUUGAAAGAAGCCAGGUCAAAUUAAUGUGCCAGCUGCCGCGGUCAGACAGAAUGGCUAAACUAAUUUGAUACUUUACUCUAUGGUAAAUCAUGGAUAUAAACUUCAUAGGUAAGAGGUACAAUUUGAACCCUUUAUUCUAUUCCUUAAAUAUCUUUUAUAAAAACCAUGAAACCUAGAAAAUAAACAAGGAUUAGAUACCCUUCUAUUUCUAGGCUUAAAUAAAGAGCCGGUACUACAAACACAUGUUUAAAACCGAAUGCACUUGGCGGUGCUCUAACCAAUUAGGGGAACCUGUUACUUUAUCCGAUGAUCCACGUCUUCUCUACUUUAUCUAGCCAAAAGCAGCCUGUGUAUUGCCGUCGCCAGCCAAAAUAGCGAUAUUAGAGCAAAAUAUGAUACCCACUAAAAGUCAGGUCGAAAUACAGCCUAUGAUAAAGGGUAAAUGGGUUACAUUUCUAAAUCGUAGUAGAAUUCAAUAUAAAAAAUUUAAUAAAAAAGGACUUAAAAGUAAGAUUAAACACGUAAUUAUUCUGAAUUGAGCUCUGGAGUGUGUACAAAUCGCCCGUCGCUCUCGCCGAAAGGGGAGAUAAGUCGUAACAAGGUAGGCGUACCGGAAGGUGUGCCUGCAUCUACUUUUAGUAAA